rnacentral:rRNA from 1 species
GUCUAUGGCCAUACCACCCUGAAUGUACCCGAUUUCGUCUGGUCUUAGAAGCUAAGCAGAGUUGGGCCUGGUUACUACUUGGAUGGGAGAAAGAUCUUCAGAGGAGACUGCUCAGAGACA